rnacentral:lncRNA from 1 species
CUGGGAUCCACAAUCUAAUCCACAUAGAUUAGAGCAGCAAGUAAAGUGACAUGAAAGACAUCAUUGGUUCACCUACUGUGCAAUGAGCCGAACCAAAUAGUAUAAUUAUCUAACAAUAGCUAAAUUGAAGUGAAAGCAGAUUCAGUCUCCUCCAACAUUGUGUAUCAAAGGCAUAAUUUGACUACAUACAUAUUAACGAGAGGAAAUUGAAAUGCUAAAUUAUCGCAACAAAUAUUAUCCAUAUCCUCUCUUUCGCUUCCU